rnacentral:piRNA from 1 species
UAACACUGAAGGCGGGUUUCCCAAGUGU